rnacentral:rRNA from 1 species
GAUGAACGCUGGCGGCGUGCCUAAUACAUGCAAGUCGAGCGAACGGACGAGAAGCUUGCUUCUCUGAUGUUAGCGGCGGACGGGUGAGUAACACGUGGAUAACCUACCUAUAAGACUGGGAUAACUUCGGGAAACCGGAGCUAAUACCGGAUGAUAUUUUGAACCGCAUGGUUCAAAAGUGAAAGACGGUCUUGCUGUCACUUAUAGAUGGAUCCGCGCUGCAUUAGCUAGUUGGUAAGGUAACGGCUUACCAAGGCAACGAUGCAUAGCCGACCUGAGAGGGUGAUCGGCCACACUGGAACUGAGACACGGUCCAGACUCCUACGGGAGGCAGCAGUAGGGAAUCUUCCGCAGUGGGCGAAAGCCUGACGGAGCAACGCCGCGUGAGUGAUGAAGGUCUUCGGAUCGUAAAACUCUGUUAUUAGGGAAGAACAUAUGUGUAAGUAACUGUGCACAUCUUGACGGUACCUAAUCAGAAAGCCACGGCUAACUACGUG